AACGAACGUUCGCGGCGCGCCUAACACAUGCAAGUCGAGCGAGAAAGGGCUUCGACCCCGGUACAGCGGCACACGGGUGAGUAACACGUAGGCAAUCUGCCCCUGAGUGGGAGAUAACCUUCCAAAAGGAGGGCUAAUACCGCAUGAGACCACGACCCCGCGAGAGGAUGAGGUCAAAGCCGGCCACUUCAUGAAAGCUGGCGCUUGGGGAUGAGCCUGCGACCCAUCAGCUAGUUGGUAGAAUAAUGGCCUACCAAAGCAUAGACGGGUAGCUGGUCUGAAAGGAUGAUCAGCCACACUGGAACUGAGACACGAUCCAGACUCCUACGGAAAACAGCAGUGAGGAAUCUUGCGCAAUGGGCGAAAGCCUAACGCAACGAAGCCACGUGAGUGAUGAAAACCUUCGGAUUGUAAAGCUCUAUGAAAAAAAACGAAUAAAGCAUAACUAACAUCCAUGUUGAUAACGGUAUCCCUUUAACAAACACCGACUAACUCUGUGCCAGCCGCCGCCGUAAGAC
rnacentral:rRNA from 1 species